CUCGCUUCUAAAUCUGGAUUCUGGAAGCUUCGUAACAAAUACAGCGAGCACGCGCUAAAUUACUUACGUUUGCAUUUGCCGAGAAAUCAUCCUUCCAAUCUUGGUUUACAUCUAAUCCGAGUCCGCAAAGGAUCAAUGCAGUGCCCACUUGAGGAACGUUCUUAGGAUUAAGACCAACGGCUUCCAUUGGGGACUGCAUCAUCCACUUACUGCUAAAUUCCGUUAAAGGAGUGAUCCUGGAUAAUUCGCGCACCUCACACAUAUCCGUGUGUUGCCUGGAACAUAUACCGGAACAGCGUACGUGCGGUUUUGAUGCUCUACGCGGCGAGCUGAUGGCACUGCAGCUUCUCUACGAAGAGCGUUACCAUCGCAGCACGCUGCCGUGACAGCGAGACGGCCGCAUUGGAUGGGCAUAUCUUAUAACAUCGAUUUCGUUCUGGAAGACUUGAGCUGAUUCCGAGCACGGGUUGCCAGUCGAGCAUCGGAAAACCGCGUUCGACUCAAAGACGGGAUACCGAGUGGCCGGACGAAGUUACCAUUGUUCCUUGUAGCGAUAAGAAGACGGAAGCGGGGAAAUUAUGGAGAAACCGCUGCUACGAAAGUGCGAGGGGCCUGCGGGCUGAUACGGGUUGCACCUAUUUGUUGUCACCCUCCCAGCAAAAUUCACAUCAAUGCAGCCGGGCAUCAGUGCCGCCCGUGAAGAACUAGAAUUGGUCAGCAGUGAAUGGUUUGCACCGGAGCUGGUGCCGCGAUCAGGGCACAGUGCACACGAUGUCAUAACUACAAUAGCUGAACCGAGUCAACCGACUGUUGGGGACCGCCAACGAAGUUCUGCUUAAGAAUUGUCCGGGACGAUUUGCGAAUGUAGUGGUUACCGUUGGCCGGGGGAGAAGGCCGAGGCAAAUCGAAAUUGCGGAAACAGCCCAUAUACUAUGUUGAUAUUCUUACUUUCUACAAAAUAUGAGAUUUUUCUCAAUUUGGAGCCUCCCUAUGUGCCGCGAUGGAUAAAAACAACAAGCCCACGAUGACACGGUAUCGGGCGCUGUUGGUUAGUGCCAACGGGAUGAGUUACCAGAACACGGUGGCCGUCCGCGUAAAUAACGACACGUGGUGGCUAGGAUACAUUCAAGACAUCGCGGACGACAAAGCCUAUAUAGACUUUGAUUCCAUAAUUAUCACGCCCAAGUGGAUAAGCAUGAACUGCAUCUGGGCGCUGCCCUUCUACUGGGAGACCGAUGCGGCUCUCGUGGUCAACCGUAAUGCGAAAUGCUACGUGGCCUUAAUUGCGGGGCGGAAAUGGCGGAUCACUGCUCUUUCGACGCGCCACCCGGCGGCGCUACCUUCAGCGAUGUAAUAAUAAUAACUGGUUUAUUGUCCUUUGCUACGAGGCUUCGCCUCCUUUUAAGCUAAGACAGGAAAUUCUAAAUAAGUAGAGAAAACAAAAAGCGUGAGGUCACAACCCAUCUGCCGGCUGCCGGCUUUUUGGGGUCAACCUUUUUCGGCAAAUAAACACCGGCUUCGGCUUUUUCGUUAACGUAUUACUCUAGAAAGUGUAUUUGGAGAGAAAUUGAUUGAUUGGUUUUCGAGAAAAAUUCGGACACUUGAAAGUCGGCUGCUGGUUGCCGGCUGCCUCUCCUGUGCUGCACACCGCUUCUGCCAGAAACACCAUCCGACCGCCCACUUCGAAAUAGCCGCUAACGGCCAAGUGGCCGGUAUCUGGCCGCCGACGGAUCCGCCGUUGCUGCAGCAGCACAGCGGUUUGCUCUACACCAAGCACGUUAUCCCCUUUGACGCAGCGCAGGACGUCCUCAGCGACGCCGCGGACAGAUCCCGCAUUAUCAAGCACCUGCGCGACGCAUUUCGCCAGUUGCUCAAAGCAUUUCGACCAACCCGCGAAAUGCCGGUGCCCUACCCGUUUAGCCGGUGUCGCUUUCACCUGCGCGUGGAGCCGGGUCGCUGCACGUUAUUGUCGCCAGUUUCAGCAGGAGCGCGGAGGCGGUCCACACGACGGAGGUUACGUUGGCCAGAGCCUUCGAGACGCAUCUAGUCAGCCGGAUCGAUCUGCCGUCCCUCCGGUUUCGUGACGCCCGUCUACAGGGAGCCGGUGUGGAAAGCAGCGUUGAGCAGGCGACCGCGCAAAUUGGUGAACAGCCGGCACAUCUCGUCAGGAAGAUCCUGGCCCAUCUGGACCUACACUCGCAAAUGAGGACUAAGAGGGUGUGCGCGUUGUGGCAGUUAUUGCUGAGCCACUCUCGAAUGGCGGAGCACGUCAGCCUGUCCUUCGAAAGCUGCUGGCCGCUGCAAUAGGACACGGACAACUGCUUCAAAGCGGCCAGCCUCAUGAGCCGCUCCAUCACGCCCGCCACCAUCAGUCUGACGCUGCUGCCGCUCCUUCCUUCCAGUCACGUCACAGUGUUACUGCCCUGGUUGCAAGACAACCGCAUCCAUCUGCGCUGCAUCGCCUUCAAAGACUACACCAGUCCCCCGCCGCUCGCGCCACGCGCCCUCUCGUCACCCGGCCACACUGCUGGCCUUCAGGUUUAAGCACCUGUGCGACGCCCUGCUGCUGUGCAACUGGACGGUCGGCCAGCUCUUCGGCUCGACGAUGUACUACGCCUUUGAGUGCGAUCCCUACCUGACGUUCCGCCCACCCGCCCAUCUCCUGCGGGCCCGCGAGCAGGACCGCAUGCGGCACCUGACGCCAGAGUCCUGCGCAUUGGACGUUGACCAGCUGCGCGUCUCCAUUCCGCGGCUGCAGCGACGGCCGCACGCGCAUGUCGGCGCGCUUCAUGCACGCGGUGGACGCCCACUUCCCGCCGGUCACCGCGGAAAUGAUAGCAAAGGUCACGGCGGUGCACGCGCGCUGGGUG